rnacentral:rRNA from 1 species
UACGUAGGGUGCAAGCGUUGUCCGGAAUUACUGGGCGUAAAGCGCACGUAGGCGGCUCUUUAAGUCGGGGGUGAAAUCCUGGAGCUCAACUCCAGAACUGCCUUCGAUACUGUAGAGCUUGAGUUCGGGAGAGGUGAGUGGAACUGCGAGUGUAGAGGUGAAAUUCGUAGAUAUUCGCAAGAACACCAGUGGCGAAGGCGGCUCACUGGCCCGAUACUGACGCUGAGGUGCGAAAGCGUGGGGAGCAAACAGG